UACGGAGGGGGCUAGCGUUGUUCGGAAUUACUGGGCGUAAAGCGCACGUAGGCGGCUUUGUAAGUUAGAGGUGAAAGCCCGGAGCUCAACUCCGGAAUUGCCUUUAAGACUGCAUCGCUAGAAUUGUGGAGAGGUAAGUGGAAUUCCGAGUGUAGAGGUGAAAUUCGUAGAUAUUCGGAAGAACACCAGUGGCGAAGGCGGCUCACUGGACUGGUAUUGACGCUGAUGUGCGAAAGCGUGGGGAGCAAACAGG
rnacentral:rRNA from 1 species